rnacentral:tRNA from 1 species
GGGCGUGUAGCUCAGUUGGUUAGAGCAGCCGCUUGAUAAGCGGCAGGUCACUGGUUCGAGCCCAGUCACGCCCA